rnacentral:rRNA from 1 species
GUCUAAGGCCAUAUUACUUGAUGGUACCAGAACUCAUUUGAUCUCUGAAGCUAAGCAGGGUCAGGCCUGGUUAGAACUUGGAUGGGAGACCAAACUUCAAACAAAGGAGAAAGACU